GACGAACGCUGGCGGCGGGCUUAACACAUGCAAGUCGAACGGAAAGGCCCUGCUUUUGUGGGGUUCUCGAGUGGCGAACGGGUGAGUAACACGUGAGUAUCCUGCCCUUGUCUUUGGGAUAACUUCAGGAAACUGGGGCUAAUACCGGAUAGGAGCUCCUGCUGCAUGGUGGGGGUUGGAAAGUCUCGGCGGGUGGGGUUGGACUCGCGGCUUAUCAGCUUGUUGGUGGGGUAGUGGCUUACCAAGGCUUGGACGGGUAGCCGGCCUGGGUGGGUGACCGGCCACAUUGGGACUGAGGUACGGCGCAGACUCCUACGGGAGGCAGCAGGGGGAAGUAUUGCACAAUGGGCGGACGCCUGAUGCAGAAACGCCGCGUGCGGGAAGACGGCCUUCGGGUUGUAAACCGCUUUCGCCUAAGACGAAGCGUGACUGACGGUAAUGGGUAAAGAAGCACCGGCUAACUACGUG
rnacentral:rRNA from 1 species